rnacentral:rRNA from 1 species
UGGGGAAUUUUGGACAAUGGGCGAAAGCCUGAUCCAGCAAUGCCGCGUGUGUGAAGAAGGCCUUCGGGUUGUAAAGCACUUUUGUCCGGAAAGAAAUCCUUGGCUCUAAUACAGUCGGGGGAUGACGGUACCGGAAGAAUAAGCACCGGCUAACUACGUGCCAGCAGCCGCGGUAAUACGUAGGGUGCAAGCGUUAAUCGGAAUUACUGGGCGUAAAGCGUGCGCAGGCGGUUUGCUAAGACCGAUGUGAAAUCCCCGGGCUCAACCUGGGAACUGCAUUGGUGANUGGCAGGCUAGAGUAUGGCAGAGGGGGGUAGAAUUCCACGUNUGAGCAGUGAAAUGCGUAGAGAUGUGGAGGAAUACCGAUGGCGAAGGCAGCCCCCUGGCAAGUACUGACGCUCAUGCACGAAAGCGU